rnacentral:rRNA from 1 species
AGAGUUUGAUCCUGGCUCAGGAUGAACGCUGGCGGCGUGCCUAACACAUGCAAGUCGAACGAAGCUUGACGGAUGAUUUCUUCGGAAUGAAACCUGAUAUGACUUAGUGGCGGACGGGUGAGUAACACGUGAGCAACCUGCCUUUCAGAGGGGGAUAACGGCUGGAAACGGUCGCUAAUACCGCAUGAUGUGUUCGGAUGGCAUCAUCUGAACAUCAAAGAUUUAUCGCUGAAAGAUGGGCUCGCGUCUGAUUAGAUAGUUGGUGGGGUAACGGCCUACCAAGUCGACGAUCAGUAGCCGGACUGAGAGGUUGAACGGCCACAUUGGGACUGAGAUACGGCCCAGACUCCUACGGGAGGCAGCAGUGGGGAAUAUUGCACAAUGGGGGAAACCCUGAUGCAGCAACGCCGCGUGAAGGAUGAAGGUUUUCGGAUCGUAAACUUCUAUCAAUAGGGACGAAGAAAGUGACGGUACCUAAAUAAGAAGCCCCGGCUAACUACGUGCCAGCAGCCGCGGUAAUACGUAGGGGGCAAGCGUUAUCCGGAAUUACUGGGUGUAAAGGGUGCGUAGGUGGUAUGGCAAGUCAGAAGUGAAAACCCAGGGCUUAACUCUGGGACUGCUUUUGAAACUGUCAGACUGGAGUGCAGGAGAGGUAAGCGGAAUUCCUAGUGUAGCGGUGAAAUGCGUAGAUAUUAGGAGGAACAUCAGUGGCGAAGGCGGCUUACUGGGCUUUAACUGACGCUGAGGCUCGAAAGCGUGGGGAGCAAACAGGAUUAGAUACCCUGGUAGUCCACGCCGUAAACGAUGAUUACUAGGUGUGGGGGGACUGACCCCUUCCGUGCCGCAGCAAACGCAAUAAGUAAUCCACCUGGGGAGUACGACCGCAAGGUUGAAACUCAAAGGAAUUGACGGGGGCCCGCACAAGCAGU